GACGAACGCUGGCGGCGUGCUUAACACAUGCAAGUCGAACGGAAAGGCCCUGCUUUUGUGGGGUGCUCGAGUGGCGAACGGGUGAGUAACACGUGAGUAACCUGCCCUUGACUUUGGGAUAACUUCAGGAAACUGGGGCUAAUACCGGAUAGGAGCUCCUGCUGCAUGGUGGGGGUGGGAAAGUUUCGGCGGUUGGGGAUGGACUCGCGGCUUAUCAGCUUGUUGGUGGGGUAGUGGCUUACCAAGGCUUUGACGGGUAGCCGGCCUGAGAGGGUGACCGGCCACAUUGGGACUGAGAUACGGCCCAGACUCCUACGGGAGGCAGCAGUGGGGAAUAUUGCACAAUGGGCGGAAGCAUGAUGCAGCAACGCCGCGUGCGGGAUGACGGCCUUCGGGUUGUAAACCGCUUUCGCCUGUGACGAAGCGUGAGUGACGGUAAUGGGUAAAGAAGCACCGGCUAACUACGUG
rnacentral:rRNA from 1 species